rnacentral:tRNA from 1 species
CUGGACGUCUCUGGACGCUGGUGGACGCUAAAAAACCUGUAUGGGGUGCAGGUGGUCGGAGGUUCAAAUCCUCUCGCCCCGACCA